CGAACCUUGCAAACGUUAUUCGGAAUCACUGGGCUUAAAGGGUGCGUAGGCUGUGCAGAAAGUUGGGUGUGAAAUACCUCGGCUUAACCGAGGAAUUGCGCCCAAAACUACUGUGCUCGAGGAAGAUAGAGGUGAGCGGAACUUAGGGUGGAGCGGUGAAAUGCGUUGAUAUCCUAAGGAACACCGGUGGCGAAAGCGGCUCACUGGAUCUUAUCUGACGCUGAGGCACGAAAGCCAGGGUAGCGAACGGG
rnacentral:rRNA from 1 species